CCUACGGGGCGCAGCAGUCGAGAAUCAUUCACAAUGGGGGAAACCCUGAUGGUGCGACGCCGCGUGGGGGAAUGAAGGUCUUCGGAUUGUAAACCCCUGUCAUGUGGGAGCAAAUUAAAAAGAUAGUACCACAAGAGGAAGAGACGGCUAACUCUGUGCCAGCAGCCGCGGUAAUACAGAGGUCUCAAGCGUUGUUCGGAAUCACUGGGCGUAAAGCGUGCGUAGGCUGUUUCGUAAGUCGUGUGUGAAAGGCGCGGGCUCAACCCGCGGACGGCACAUGAUACUGCGAGACUAGAGUAAGGGAGGGGGAACCGGAAUUCUCGGUGUAGCAGUGAAAUGCGUAGAUAUCGAGAGGAACACUCGUGGCGAAGGCGGGUUCCUGGACAGUAACUGACGCUGAGGCACGAAGGCCAGGGGAGCGAAAGGGAUUAGAUACCCCAGUAGUC
rnacentral:rRNA from 1 species